UAACUGGGCGUUAAGUUGCAGGGUAUAGACCCGAAACCCGGUGAUCUAGCCAUGGGCAGGUUGAAGGUUGGGUAACACUAACUGGAGGACCGAACCGACUAAUGUUGAAAAAUUAGCGGAUGACUUGUGGCUGGGGGUGAAAGGCCAAUCAAACCGGGAGAUAGCUGGUUCUCCCCGAAAGCUAUUUAGGUAGCGCCUCGUGAAUUCAUCUCCGGGGGUAGAGCACUGUUUCGGCAAGGGGGUCAUCCCGACUUACCAACCCGAUGCAAACUGCGAAUACCGGAGAAUGUUAUCACGGGAGACACACGGCGGGUGCUAACGUCCGUCGUGAAGAGGGAAACAACCCAGACCGCC
rnacentral:rRNA from 1 species